rnacentral:rRNA from 1 species
UACGUAGGGUGCAAGCGUUGUCCGGAAUUACUGGGCGUAAAGCGUGUGUAGGCGGCCACGUAAGUCGGAUGUGAAAGCCCCGGGCUCAACCCGGGAAGUGCACUCGAUACUGCGUGGCUUGAGUACUGGAGAGGUUGGUGGAAUUCUCGGUGUAGAGGUGAAAUUCGUAGAUAUCGAGAGGAACACCGGUGGCGAAGGCGGCCAACUGGACAGAUACUGACGCUGAGACACGAAAGCGUGGGGAGCAAACAGG